GGGGAAUAUUGGACAAUGGGCGAAAGCCUGAUCCAGCCAUGCCGCGUGUGUGAAGAAGGUCUUCGGAUUGUAAAGCACUUUAAGUUGGGAGGAAGGGUAGUAACCUAAUACGUUGCUACUUUGACGUUACCGACAGAAUAAGCACCGGCUAACUUCGUGCCAGCAGCCGCGGUAAUACGAAGGGUGCAAGCGUUAAUCGGAAUUACUGGGCGUAAAGCGCGCGUAGGUGGUUCAGCAAGUUGGAUGUGAAAGCCCUGGGCUCAACCUGGGAACUGCAUCCAAAACUACUGAGCUAGAGUACGGUAGAGGGUAGUGGAAUUUCCUGUGUAGCGGUGAAAUGCGUAGAUAUAGGAAGGAACACCAGUGGCGAAGGCGACUACCUGGACUGAUACUGACACUGAGGUGCGAAAGCGUGGGGAGCAAAC
rnacentral:rRNA from 1 species